GAGGAGCGAAAGCGUGGGUAGCAAACAGGAUUAGAUACCCUGGUAGUCCACGCCGUAAACGAUGGGCACUAGGUGUGGGUCUCUAACCAACGAGAUCCGCGCCGUCGCUAACGCAUUAAGUGCCCCGCCUGGGGAGUACGGUCGCAAGACUAAAACUCAAAGGAAUUGACGGGGGCCCGCGCAAGCAGCGGAGCGUGUUGCUUAAUUCGAUGCUACGCGAAGAACCUUACCUAGGUUAAAUCAUUGGGAAAAGCCACAGAGAUGUGGUGUCCUUCGGGGCUCAAUGAAGGUGGUGCAUGGCUGUCGUCAGCUCGUGUCGUGAGAUGUUGGGUUAAGUCCCGCAACGAGCGCAACCCUUAUUCUAUGUUGCCAGCACGUAAUGGUGGGGACUCGUAGGAGACUGCCGGGGUCAACUCGGAGGAAGGUGGGGACGACGUCAAGUCAUCAUGCCCCUUAUGUCUAGGGCUGCAAACACGCUACAAUGGCCGGUACAAAGGGCUGCGAAACCGCGAGGUUUAGCGAAUCCCAUAAAGCCGGUCUCAGUUCGGAUUGGAGGCUGCAACUCGCCUCCAUGAAGCUGGAGUUGCUAGUAAUCCCGGAUCAGCACGCCGGGGUG
rnacentral:rRNA from 1 species